CAAACCGUUCACCUCCCUCGGUCCAAAUACAGGGCUCAAAACUGCAAGAAGAGAACGUGUCGCGCUGCUGAUAAAGCUAGUAGGAUGAAGGGAAUUAGCGCCCCAGAGAGUCAAGCUUAAACCAGAUGAAGUACUGAAGUACAGACCAAGGCUACUGCACCAAACCCACCCCUUCGCCAGGGCUCAACCCAAUGUAUGUCAUGGCAUUAAGAACGCCAGAUCAAACUGCGUGUUUCUCAAAAUGAGUCUGUAUUCUUCAGGUUGAAUGUUCCUGGCCUUCCCUUGUUUUGAAUUGAGUGGUGGUCCAGAGAAAGCCAAGGCUCUUAAUUCCCUGAGACCUUUUUCUCUGCCCUGAAGUAAGUGCAAUGUAGGACGUUGCAUGGUGCAGCGGUGAGGACGUGCAUCUCCUGAGCACGGUUGUUGACCAACCUGGUUAUUCCAAGUUCUAGAGAAGAGGAUGGAUGCCAAGAAUGUCUUUACAAACAUCCGCAAGAAUUUGAUUUCUGGGUAUCAAGUGACAGGAUUUAUUUUAUUAGGGGUAAUUCCCGGCAAAAGAAAAAGGCUUUCAUUUCCUUGUUAAGAUGAAAGGUGUUCUGUUGUGCUUUCUUCCUUGUGUUGUGAUCUUUAAUUGCUCAGUGGCUACCUGUCUAUGGCUAAUGAUUAACUCACCGAGCAUGAAAAAUGCUCUUUCAUACAUAUCCCAGAAGAAGCCAGCAAGACAAACAUAACCCACUUUGCCGAAAGCAAACAAUACAGCACAAAAAGGGCCUUGCUGUUUGACCCUUGCUAGCAACAGCUCCUUAUGGCUAAUGGUAGCCUUGCUGCCUGCCCUCGCGCUCGCUUCUCUGCCGUGCGGAUGACAAAGAAGUGGGGAAAGGACAGGAUCCCGGUGCAGCUUUCCCUUUCCUAGCAAGAUCUGAAUAAUCUGUUAGUCCAAUUCCUUCGCCAAGCAAUCAGCAGCUGACCACUGCUGGGUUCCUGAUAGCACCUUUCUGUGAAGUGGUAAAGGAUGUUUCUUUUAAGAAAUAAAGAUAUAGCUGUGUCCAGAAAGGUGUGUGCAAGAGCAGGGUACUGAGGUCUGCACAUGCAUGCAUAAGAGCAUGAAAGGGCUUUUGCAUCUUCGUUUUUGAGUACACUUGUGUGCAUUUGUGGCUACACAAGCGUAACAGCUCGUGCGUGUGUGUGGGACAAACCUCUGUGACUUCUGACGCCACCUCCGCGCUGCCCGCAGCCCUCUUCUCUCAGACCCAGUAAAAUCCUUCCCCCGCUCGCUGCAUGAGCGGAGCAAAACCUCCUGCGUGUAGCAAGCCCAAGCAAGCACAGCCGCCCCUUGCGUAAAAACCUCUGCCAGCCACUUCCAUGCUGUUUCAUUCACUUAUGGCGCUGGAAAACCCCGUCUGCUGCGGAUUGCGCUCUGCCGGAGCGACGCUUCCCAGCCCAGGCGAACGGCGCACACCAGCCUUGCUGCCCAGGCUGCAGUAAGCUGGCACCGUUCGGGAUGCUGGAAGAGAUCAACCUAUCAAGUCGUUAAAAGAGCUCUUGUUUCUUUUGUGGUGUUAAAGAGCGUUUUCUGCUGGAUUUGCUGUGCGUAGUCAGAGCACAAGACUUCAACCUCAGAGCGCCCGAGAAGGAAAAUGAUGGUCGUGCCCGUGUGACAGGGACUGCAAGCUCCUGCGCUGAAUUUCUGGUCUGCCUCGGAGCAGGAAGGACCGAGAGCCUGAGACCACGGUGUCCCCAGUGACUGACAGACCUGGAAACUCCCCUACCAGAAAGCCCAGUGCUAGCGAACGUCAGCCGGGGCUGCUCUGAGACCACCGGGACCCGGCUGCACAGGCUGCGCGCACGGAGCUGCACGCGCUGGAGCAGAGAUACCACUCCAAUCUUGUCCUGAGAAGUGGAAUUUGCUUUCAUUUUGCAACAUCAGAAUUGCCAGCUCAUUCCUCUUCCCUGUGCGCAGAGAAGGUGCUGCGAAGGCCGGCAGCGCAAAGCCAGCGCUACAGCCGGCCUCGCCGCACGGGACCUGCUGGCACGUGAGUGCCCGGGCGCUGCAGCCUCGCCCAGCCCCGCUCGCGAGGACAAGGCGACGGGGCUGUCUCGCCGCGGUGGAUCUCUGCUCUCCCGUUGUUUGCAGCAACCUUGUGCGUGCUUGUGUGUGUAAUGCAGCGGGGGUUUGAAAGAAUCAUAUUGUACAAAGCACCAACAGUGUAGGCUAAUCGUUAACAAAAUAAUACUAACGAAUCAAGGAUAUUUAGCUGUUAUAUGCUAGAAAACACAAGAUUCAGCCAUUGCUCAGUGAAGGAGCUGGGACUUUCCCCCACUUGCCCGUUUUCGUGCUCAGCCUGAGCUGCCACAUAUUUGUGUCCGCGCACCUGGGGACAGCCUGUGCAGUCCCCGCGCUCGGGCACGUGCAGGCACGGGAGCGCGGCAAAGCGUUCAAGUGCUGGUGAAAGCCCAGACGUACACCUAGGGAAACUUGUUACAGCUUGCAGCGCCUUUCCAUAUUUGGGUUUUUGUUGGUUUUUCGGGCACGUUGCAGAGCGCGGCGCAUCCCCGCACUGGCCAGCUCCGAGCUCAGAGCGCAGGACGCGCUGCAAGCCGGGCUCAGUGCGGGAAGCACUGCAAAUGGAGCAAUUACAAGGUCCUUUGCAACCUAAUGACCUCUUUUUUCCUGUUUUCCAACUUAUAAUAGCUAAAUAACUUUGUCUUGUUAGUAUCACGUUGACAAUGAGUAACCGACACUGUUUUUUGUGGGACGCUGCCGUGCUCUUACACCUCGCCACGUGCUGUGAAGGCAGAGCGGCAGAGCAGAGCAGAGCAAAGCUGCAGCGGGGUUUGUAGAGCUCCGGGGAGGACAGACCCCAGCCCGCGGCGAGCGCCUUGGCAGCGGGAGCGUUGGUGCUCCUGUCCGCGUGCCAGGCUGGAGGUUCCCACCGGGCGUUCGUGGCUCUACCGCUCCCGGGGAGGGAUGGCUCCAGCCUUACA